rnacentral:misc_RNA from 1 species
AACGCACCUUGCGCCCUUUGGUAUUCCGAAGGGCAUGCCUGUUUGAGUAUCAUUAAUAUCUCACUCUUGAAUUCCUUGUGAAGUCAAGAUGUGGACUUUGGAGGUUUUUGCAGGCCAUCACUGGUCAGCUCCUCUUAAAUGCAUUAGCGGAACUCUAUGCAGUUUCAGCCUCGGUUUGAUAAUCCUAUCUAUGCUGUCGCUGAUGACUGUGCUGUUUGGCUUAUAAUUGUCUUCGGACUGUCACUUUUGUGGCAUAAACUUUAAGCUUGAUCUCAAAUCAGGUAGGACUACCCGCUGAACUUAA